AUGGUUUCAUCAUCUGACACGUUUGAUUUGCUUUUCUUCUGCUUGCCACGUUCCAACUCCAGGUCCAACAAUUGCUUCACCAUUCAAGAUUGCGGCCAUGUCUGAAACCUUCAUCAAAACCCUUUUCUCAAAUCGCUAACGACGGGGUCCAAUUAGAGUGAUGGCGUGAGCAAUACAAAAGAACUUUUAAAGAAACUAAAUCGAAAAAAAUACUAGCAAAGAUCAACAAGAAAUUCCAAAUUUUCUCCCCAACUCCCACAAGCAACGGUGAAACUGGAAUUUCGUUGAAGGCCUUUCCCUGUUCUGAUUCUUACUUUAAUUGAUAAGGUAUGCUGACAUAUAGGCCCUGUUGCUCUUAUGUUUUUUUACCAUGGAAAUCGAAGCUGUUGUAAUUAGCGGCUUAGGUCAUUUGAAAGCGUCAAUACGAAAUUGUCGAUUUGCUACGCAUCCCCUGAAGAUAAAUUGAGCAUCUAUUAAUUUUUGCCCCACAUCUGGAUAUUUUUGCAGCUUACAAAUUACGGAUAAAUUUUGAUUUAAUGUGGAUGGUGACUUUAUCAUUUAAAUAAGACGCUAGGUCUGUAUAUAAACAUCCAUGCCUUAGAUUUUACAUUUGCUACUGAGAUUUUCAUAUUGAUAUUCUGCUU
rnacentral:lncRNA from 1 species